rnacentral:rRNA from 1 species
AAUGAACGCUGGCGGCAGGCCUAACACAUGCAAGUCGAGCGGAUGAAGGGGGCUUGCUCCUGGAUGCAGCGGCGGACGGGUGAGUAAUGCCUAGGAAUCUGCCUUGUCGUGGGGGAUGAGGUCCGGAAACGGGCGCUAAUACCGCAUACGACCUGAGGUAGAAAGUGGGGGAUCUUCGGACCUCACGGUAUCAGAUGAGCCUAGGUCUGAUUAGCUAGUUGGUGGGGUAAAGGCCUACCAAGGCGACGAUCCGUAACUGGUCUGAGAGGAUGAUCAGUCACACUGGAACUGAGACACGGUCCAGACUCCUACGGGAGGCAGCAGCGGGGAAUCUUGCACAAUGGGCGAAAGCCUGAUCCAGCCAUGCCGCGUGUGUGAAGAAGGUCUUCGGAUUGUAAAGCACUUUAAGUUGGGAGGAAGGGAAGUAAGUUUAUCCCUUGCUAUUUUGACGUUACCAACAGAAUAAGCACCGGCUAACUUCGUG